rnacentral:rRNA from 1 species
UACAGAGGGUGCAAGCGUUGUUCGGAAUUAUUGGGCGUAAAGAGCUCGUAGGCGGUUUGUCGCGUCGGCUGUGAAAACUCAGGGCUCAACCCUGAGCCUGCAGCCGAUACGGGCAGGCUGGAGUUCGGUAGGGGAGACUGGAAUUCCUGGUGUAGCGGUGAAAUGCGCAGAUAUCAGGAGGAACACCGAUGGCGAAGGCAGGUCUCUGGGCAUUAACUGACGCUGAGGAGCGAAAGCAUGGGGAGCGAACAGG